rnacentral:rRNA from 1 species
UACGGAGGGUGCAAACGUUGCUCGGAAUCAUUGGGCGUAAAGCGCACGUAGGCGGUCCAGCAAGCGGGGAGUGAAAGCCCUCGGCUUAACCGAGGAAGUGCUUUCCGAACUACUGGACUUGAAUACUGAAGAGGAUCGCGGAAUUCCCGGUGUAGAGGUGAAAUUCGUAGAUAUCGGGAGGAACACCAGUGGCGAAGGCGGCUCACUGGACCACAACUGACGCUGAGGCGCGAAAGCUAGGGGAGCAAACAGG